rnacentral:rRNA from 1 species
AAUCAACGCUGGCGGCGUGCCUGACACAUGCAAGUCGAACGCGAAAGUGGAGCAAUCCAUGAGUAGAGUGGCAAACGGGUGAGUAACACGUGGGUGACCUGCCUUAGAGUGGGGGAUAACGUCCCGAAAGGGACGCUAAUACCGCAUAACAUGCUGCCUUUUAAGAGGUGGACAUCAAAGCCGGGGACCGCAAGGCCUGGCGCUUAAAGAGGGGCCCGCGCCUGAUUAGCUAGUUGGUGGGGUAAUGGCUCACCAAGGCAACGAUCAGUAUCCGGCCUGAGAGGGCGGACGGACACACUGGGACUGAGACACGGCCCAGACUCCUACGGGAGGCAGCAGUGGGGAAUUGUUCGCAAUGGGCGCAAGCCUGACGACGCAACGCCGCGUGGAGGAUGAAGAUCUUCGGGUUGUAAACUCCUUUCGAUCGAGACGAAUGGCCCUUGGGCUAACAUCCUGAGGGAGUGACGGUACCGAGAGAAGAAGCCCCGGCUAAACUCCGUGCCAGCAGCCG